CACGCCNUAAACGAUGUCGAUUAGCUGUUGGGCAGCAUGACUGCUUAGUAGCGAAGCUAACGCGUGAAAUCGACCGCCUGGGGAGUACGGUCGCAAGAUUAAAACUCAAAGGAAUUGACGGGGACCCGCACAAGCGGUGGAUGAUGUGGAUUAAUUCGAUGCAACGCGAAGAACCUUACCUGGUCUUGACAUGUACGGAACCCUCCAGAGACGGAGGGGUGCCUUCGGGAGCCGUAACACAGGUGCUGCAUGGCUGUCGUCAGCUCGUGUCGUGAGAUGUUGGGUUAAGUCCCGCAACGAGCGCAACCCUUGUCAUUAGUUGCCAUCAUUAAGUUGGGCACUCUAAUGAGACUGCCGGUGACAAGCCGGAGGAAGGUGGGGAUGACGUCAAGUCCUCAUGGCCCUUAUGACCAGGGCUUCACACGUCAUACAAUGGUCGGUACAGAGGGUAGCCAAGCCGCGAGGUGGAGCCAAUCUCACAAAACCGAUCGUAGUCCGGAUUGCACUCUGCAACUCGAGUGCAUGAAGUCGGAAUCGCUAGUAAUCGCAGGUCAGCAUACUGCGGUGAAUACGUUCCCGGGUCUUGUACACACC
rnacentral:rRNA from 1 species